rnacentral:rRNA from 1 species
GCAACCCUUAUUGCUAGUUGCCAUCAUUCAGUUGGGCACUCUAGCGAGACUGCCGGUAAUAAACCGGAGGAAGUGGGGAUGACGUCAAAUCAUCAUGCCCUUAUGACCUGGGCUACGCACGUGCUACAAUGGUUGGUACAACGAGUUGCGAGUCGGUGACGGCGAGCUAAUCUCUUAAAGCCAAUCUCAGUUCGGAUUGUAGGCUGCAACUCGCCUACAUGAAGUCGGAAUCGCUAGUAAUCGCGGAUCAGCACGCCCGCGGUCCGAAUACGUUCCGGGCCUU